rnacentral:rRNA from 1 species
CCCUUAGAUGUUCUGGGCCGCACGCGUGCUACACUGACCGGCGCAACAAGCUUUUUUCCUUGGCUCGACAGGCCUGGGUAAUCUUCGAACGCCGGUCGUGAUGGGGAUAGAUCCUUGCAAUUUUUGAUCUUCAACGAGGAAUUCCUAGUAAAUGCGAGUCAUCAUCUCGCGUUGAUUACGUCCCUGCCCUUUGUACACACCGCCCGUCGCACCUACCGAUUGAAUGGUCCGGUGAAAUCUCGGGACGGCGGCUUGGUCGCUUGCGUCCGACUGCUGAAACUUGAUUAAACCAUAUCAUUUAGAGGAAGGUGAAGUCGUANCA